rnacentral:rRNA from 1 species
AUUGAACGCUGGCGGCAUGCUUUACACAUGCAAGUCGAACGGUAACAGGCCGCAAGGUGCUGACGAGUGGCGAACGGGUGAGUAAUGCAUCGGAGCGUGCCCAGUCGUGGGGGAUAACGCAGCGAAAGCUGUGCUAAUACCGCAUACGAUCUGUGGAUGAAAGCGGGGGACCUUCGGGCCUCGCGCGAUUGGAGCGGCCGAUGUCAGAUUAGGUAGUUGGUGGGGUAAAGGCUCACCAAGCCAACGAUCUGUAGCUGGUCUGGGAGGACGACCAGCCACACUGGGACUGAGACCCGGCCCAGACUCCUACGGGAGGCAGCAGUGGGGAAUUUUGGACAAUGGGCGCAAGCCUGAUCCAGCAAUGCCGCGUGCAGGAAGAAGGCCUUCGGGUUGUAAACUGCUUUUGUACGGAGCGAAAAGGCUCCCUCUAAUACAGGGGGCUCAUGACGGUACCGUAAGAAUAAGCACCGGCUAACUACGUGCCAGCAGCCGCCGUAACAC